GAACGGGGGGAACCCCGCAACAAAGGCGGGUGGGACUUACUGUGGAUUUAAAUUCGACUGCAACCGCGAAAAGACCUUUACCUACCCUUGACAUGCCAGGAACCUUUCCAGAGAUGGAGGGGUGCCCGAAAGGGGAACCUGGGCACAGGUGCUGCAUGGCUGUCGUCAGCUCGUGUCGUGAGAUGUUGGGUUAAGUCCCGCAACGAGCGCAACCCUUGCCAUUAGUUGCCACAUUAAGUUGGGCACUCUAAUGGGACUGCCGGUGACAAACCGGAGGAAGGUGGGGAUGACGUCAAGUCCUCAUGGCCCUUAUGGGUAGGGCUUCACACGUAAUACAAUGGCCGGUACAGAGGGCAGCCAACCCGCGAGGGGGAGCUAAUCCCAAGUAAAGCCGGUCGUAGUCCGUGAUUGCAGUCUGCAACUCGACUGCAUGAAGCCGCAAAUCGCUAG
rnacentral:rRNA from 1 species